UACGUAGGGUGCGAGCGUUGUCCGGAAUUACUGGGCGUAAAGAGCUCGUAGGUGGUUUGUCGCGUUGUCCGUGAAAACUCACAGCUUAACUGUGGGCGUGCGGGCGAUACGGGCAGACUGGAGUACUGCAGGGGAGACUGGAGUUCCUGGUGUAGCGGUGGAAUGCGCAGAUAUCAGGAGGAACACCGGUGGCGAAGGCGGGUCUCUGGGCAGUAACUGACGCUGAGGAGCGAAAGCGUGGGGAGCGAACAGG
rnacentral:rRNA from 1 species